UACGAAGGAUCCAAGCGUUAUCCGGAUUUAUUGGGUUUAAAGGGUGCGUAGGCGGCCUAUUAAGUCAGUGCUGAAAUAUCCCGGCUUAACCGGGAGGGUGGCAUUGAUACUGAUGGGCUUGAGUAAAGUUGAGGUAGGCGGAAUUGACGGUGUAGCGGUGAAAUGCUUAGAUAUCGUCAAGAACACCUAUUGCGAAGGCAGCUUACUAAGCUUUAACUGACGCUGAUGCACGAAAGUGUGGGGAUCAAACAGG
rnacentral:rRNA from 1 species